rnacentral:rRNA from 1 species
ACCAGCACGUUAUGUGGGCGACUCUAAGGAGACUGCCGGUGACAAACCGGAGGAAGGUGGGGAUGACGUCAAGUCAUCAUGGCCCUUACGGCCUGGGCUACACACGUGCUACAAUGGUCGGUACAAAGGGUUGCCAAGCCGCGAGGUGGAGCUAAUCCCAUAAAACCGAUCGUAGUCCGGAUCGCAGUCUGCAACUCGACUGCGUGAAGUCGGAAUCGCUAGUAAUCGUGAAUCAGAAUGUCACGGUGAAUACGUUCCCGGGCCUU